AUUGAACGCUGGCGGCAGGCUUAACACAUGCAAGUCGAGCGAGCGGCGGACGGGUGUGUAAUGUCUGGGACCCUGCUUGAUGGAGGGGGUUAACUACUGGAAACGGUAGCUAAUACCGCAUACCUUCAGAUUUGCCCUGAUGGGAUUAGCUAGUAGGUGGGGUAAUGGCUAACCUAGGCGACGAUCCCUAGCUGGUCUGAGAGUAUGAUCGGCCACACUGGGACGGGGCAACGGCCCGGACUCCUACGGGAGGCAGCGGUGGGGAAUAUUGCACAAUGGGGGCAAGUCUGACGCAGCAAGGCCGCGUGUAUGAAGAAGGCCCUAGGGUUGUAAAGUACUUUCAGUCGGGAGGCGUUACCGACAGAGAAAGCACCGGCUAACUACGUGCCAGCAGCCGCGGUAAUUC
rnacentral:rRNA from 1 species